CCCUGGCUCUGUAUACCCUGUAUCUCAGGUUCCUGUUGGGGACCGCUGCAUGGACCAGGAAUGGACAGAAGCACCCUUGCACCUUUGAGAGGCACAGUUGCAGGGAUCCAACCCACUGUCCUGACUUCUGCCGGCCCCAGGCACACUGGCAAAACAGUCAUAAAGGUAAAUCUGAAGCCAUGCCUCUGAUGAGCAAAGGCGCUGGCUCUCCCCUAGGUAAGGGGACAUUCUGGGACUCCCAGAAAAGCCCAGAUGUUACCCACUGACCAGGCAGAGGCAGCCGACCGCCUUCAGCACCUACACGGUUGAUUCCAUAUCUCCUACGCCGCAAAUGGAGAAAGAAAGUUCCAAACAGAGGCUCACUACAGAUACAAAUGUUUAUUCUACAUAAAAAUUUCACAAAAUGGGCA